UACAGAGGUGGCAAGCGUUGUUCGGAAUUACUGGGCGUAAAGGGCGCGUAGGCGGCUUGGUCAGUCCCGUGUGAAAUCCCUCGGCUUAACCGGGGAAUGGCGUCCGAUACUAGUCGGCUCGAGUGUGGGAGAGGGAUGCGGAAUUCCAGGUGUAGCGGUGAAAUGCGUAGAUAUCUGGAGGAACACCGGUGGCGAAGGCGGCAUCCUGGACUACUACUGACGCUGAGGAGCGAAAGCCAGGGGAGCAAACGGG
rnacentral:rRNA from 1 species